rnacentral:siRNA from 1 species
CCAUUUUAGUGUAAUGCUACAGUG